ACCAGGAUAGCUCAAUGGUAGAGCAGUGGACUUCAAAUCCACGUGUACCGGUUCAAAUCUGGUUCUUGGCU
rnacentral:tRNA from 1 species